AUUGAACGCUGGCGGCAUGCUUUACACAUGCAAGUCGAACGGUAACAGGCCUUCGGGUGCUGACGAGUGGCGAACGGGUGAGUAAUGCAUCGGAACGUGCCCAGAGGUGGGGGAUAACGCAGCGAAAGCUGUGCUAAUACCGCAUGUGAUCUGAGGAUGAAAGCGGGGGACCAGGCAGCAAUGUUUGGCCUCGCGCCUUUGGAGCGGCCGAUGUCAGAUUAGGUAGUUGGUGGGGUAAAGGCCUACCAAGCCGACGAUCUGUAGCUGGUCUGAGAGGACGAACAGCCACACUGGGACUGAGACACGGCCCAGACUCCUACGGGAGGCAGCAGUGGGGAAUGUUGGACAAUGGGCGCAAGCCUGAUCCAGCAAUGCCGCGUGCGGGAAGAAGGCCUUCGGGUUGUAAACCGCUUUUGUACGGAACGAAAAGGCUCUGGCUAAUACCUGGGGCUGAUGACGGUACCGUAAGAAUAAGCACCGGCUAACUACGUG
rnacentral:rRNA from 1 species